AAAUGCGAUAAGUAAUGUGAAUUGCAGAAUUCAGUGAAUCAUCGAAUCUUUGAACGCACCUUGCGCUCCUUGGUAUUCCUUGGAGCAUGCCUGUUUGAGUAUCAUGAAAUCUUCAAAGUAAAUCUUUUGUUAACUCAAUUGGUUUCUACUUUGGUAUUGGAGGUCUUUGCAGCUUCACACCUGCUCCUCUUUGUUCAUUAGCUGGAUCUCAGUGUUAUGCUUGGUUCCACUCGGCGUGAUAAGUUAUCUAUCGCUGAGGACACUGUAAAAGGUGGCCAAGAUAAAUGCAGAUGAACCGCUUCUAAUAGUCCAUUGACUUGGACAAUACUUUUAUGAUCUGAUCUCAAAUCAGGUAGGACUACCCGCUGAACUUAAGC
rnacentral:misc_RNA from 1 species